CCUUGUUUGCUUGUGGAGCUUCACUACCUUCCUCUUGAGUUGCCUGGCUUGCAAGGGAAAGGUCUCCUUUCUUUGCAAACAACCCAAUGGAGCCUUGCUCCUUCUGAAUCCGCGCACACACAUCCUCAAGAUCAGGUAGAGUGUCUUCUCUAAGCAGGUGCUGGAUGAGACCGUUGUAAGCUGGGUUCAGCGUGAGGAGUAGCCCAAAGACCUUGUCUUGCUCUCUCCUCUUGUUGAGCUCAUCAGCAUCCGUUGUGCUUGGCCUAAGCAUCUCCAUC
rnacentral:lncRNA from 1 species